UACGGAGGGUCCAAGCGUUAUCCGGAAUCAUUGGGUUUAAAGGGUGCGCAGGCGGCCUUUUAAGUCAGUGGUGAAAUCCCAUGGCUCAACCAUGGAACUGCCAUUGAUACUGAAAGGCUUGAAUGUAGUUGAAGUAGGCGGAAUGUGUAGUGUAGCGGUGAAAUGCUUAGAUAUUACACAGAACACCGAUAGCGAAGGCAGCUUACUAAGCUACUAUUGACGCUCAGGCACGAAAGCGUGGGGAGCGAACAGGAUUAGAUACCCGGGUAGUCC
rnacentral:rRNA from 1 species